AGCAAAGGUAGUGUUUCAGACCCUAACUCUAACUUAUUUUUCAUUUUCUUUGUUUUAGGAACAGUCUCAAGGCCAAUUUACUGUUUUUUCUGGAUUGACUGGAGAUUCUGAAGGCCAAGGCUAUUUCCCUCUUUCCAGUAACGUAUUUAAAUUGAUUUGAAAAUGCCUCCAAAAGGUAGGAAAACUUUUAAUUCGAGGAAGGGAUCAUUCGCCUCAAAAAAUAAUAAAAAACGAAAAACCGCUGAAAAUUCCGCUUCAAAUUCUCAGGGAUUGCAGGAAAAUAAUUUUGUUGACAUUGAAGUUGAGGU